GAUGAAGAACGUAGCGAAAUGCGAUAAGUAAUGUGAAUUGCAGAAUUCAGUGAAUCAUCGAAUCUUUGAACGCACAUUGCGCCCAUUAGUAUUCUAGUGGGCAUGCCUGUUCGAGCGUCAUUAAGUCCACUUAAGCCCUGCUUAGUGUUGGGAGACUGCUCCAGCGGUGCUACCCUGUAGCUACCCUGCAGCUCCUCAAAGACAGCGGCGGAGUUGUGGUAUCCUCUGAGCUUAGUAACUUGUUCUAGCUUUCGAGUACACCACUCCCCCUGCCGUAAAACCCUUAAUUUUUAAUGGUUGACCUCGGAUCAGGUAGGAAUACCCGCUGAACUUAAGCAUAUCAAUAAGCGGAGGA
rnacentral:misc_RNA from 1 species